GAGGUGAACUCGACUCAAGAUACCACGGAAAUUGAUUGAAUAGUAGCUGUUGCAACGACUUUGAGGUGAAUAAUGGAUUGCGUGCAAUUUGAUAGUGUACAAGACCAAGUUGCUCGAGGAGCACUCUUGUGAUGAUAAGUGACUCCUCAAUGGUUCCAAUGUCAACAAUUGCCUGCCAUUGCGGCUGUUGUGGGCCAAUCACAGCUCGGCCUCUGCGAGUUGUUUUCAAGCCUCAAUUCUAGCAAGGUUUGGAAUCUGACAACAGAGGUUUGCAGCUUGCUAAGGCUUAUUUUUCCGAAUCACAAAACAAUCACCCUUUAAAGUUGCCUCCACUCGUGACAAAAAGUUAGGCUUGCAUAAUCUUUUAUCGAACGCGACUUUCUAUGUCUCCAACUUUCAGCCCACUUGUCUUUUUCCCCUGCCAGUUCCCUCGCAUUUCGUGUCUCUCGCUCAUUCCGAGCCUCUCCCUCGGGCCGCUUCGAUGCUCGCUGCCGGGCUGAGCUCCUGCAAGGUUGCCGUGCUUGUGUGUAUUUUAGGCCUGCCAGCAUGUUUCUCCAUGAAGCAAGGUAUGACUCACAAAUCAGAUAUUUGACCAGGAGAUCCACUGAGUAGAGUAGAGCCGAAGCGUGGGAGGAAAGUGUGGAUAGCUCACAAAGGGAGUAUGGCUGACCUCGAUCUUUCCAUCUGGUAAACAGACUGCUAUUUCAACUCAAUUCCAAAGAAAGAAUUGUUUUUCCCAACACCAAACGGCUCGCAGAGCUUCACUAGAAGACCGCUUGUACAGAGGAGAGGCUGGCGGCGUGAGGGUUGAACGUCGUUUCUACAAAUGGGACUGUGACUUCAGGUUUCAGGUGGGCAUGAUAGCCGAGCUUUUAUUUUGUCGCUCUUGAGAGUGAUUAUGUAGCAAGGAGGCAAUUUUACCUGGUGCUUUGGAAAGCGUAUUUUCUCACACGCACAAAGCGAGUCCCUGCAGAGAACAAGGCAGCUCUACAAAAGAGCCUUGAACAUCCUAAGUGCGUUGGGUGCUCACACCAGGUCUCCCCUCACACUGGACAGAGCCUCAUGGCCAGGCCCAUUUGUCCACUAAUGGUGCAAGGAACGCAGGCGCGCCUCCUCAAUCCGGGUUUACCUCUCUGUCUGCUCCUGACAACCAAUGUACAGAGGUGCCACGACAUUCGAGUGACCCCACUCGUGGAUUUUUCAAGAUAUGAGCCGUCAUUUUGCAAACUUGAGAUGCAAACUGUAGGAUGGCAGUCAACUCAACGUAGCUCAUUUCACAAGCAAUAUUUUGGCAAAUCAUGACCAAUUCAUCAAAAAUGAUUCUUUGAGCUGUUUAAGGCCACAUCCUUUCAAAGUUUACUGUCAAACUAAAUACAAAAUGGAGAGAAUUCCACCAUGUGUAUUAAUAACGAAUCAAACAACCUUCAAAAGAAAGGCCUCACUGGUUUAAUGGUAGCAUGAAAUAAAAAAUGUUCACAUGCUAACGAGUCCCAUCGAUAGUUGCUGCUUUAGAAGGCUGAAGGAAUCGAAGACGUUUCAAUAAACGGUGAACAACAAACAGAACAAUACUGCAGGCAUAUAUUCUUUGUCAUCUUCAAAGAAUGAUUGAUAUUAUAGCAUCUUUCUGAGUCACUGACUGAAACUAUUCUUCAUUGUUUGUGUCUGCAUGAUGGUAUUAUACUGUCCCCAGAUAGUGGCCAAGACAGAGCAGACACCAGAAGGAUCAGUGCAAUAAAAUGAAUCGUACAAUUGUCA